GCGGCCAGCGGCCAUCGGUGUCACUCCGCCACUCCGGCCCCAUUCGACAGAGACAUCACCGGCAGCAGGUUAAUAAUGGCGCUUCGCGCGGCGGAGCUCCGGCGACUCCUCCUCCUCCGCGGCGGGGCGGUCCUCCCGCUCCCGCUCGCGUCGCGCUGCCGGCCGGCGAGCACGGCCGCCCGUGACGACGAGGGAGCAGGGGGCAACGCCUACGACGUGCUCGGGGUGGGAGAGACGAGCUCCUCCGCGGAGAUCAAGGCCUCCUUCCACCGCCUCGCGAAGGAGACCCACCCCGACGUCGCUGCCGCCGCCGGUUCCCGCCGGUUCCUUCAGAUCCUCGCGGCCUACGAGAUCCUAUCCGAUUCCCAGCGAAGGGCGCACUAUGACAGCUUCCUGCGCUCGCAGAGGCUAGUUAUACAGAAGCAUCCCAGACCAUCGCAAUAUGUAUAUCCAUAUCCAUAUAGUUCAGGCAUUGUGAUGCCUAGAGAAAGUAAUGUUGUCGAAUGGCUUAAAUGGUACAGGCUCACUGUCGAUGACAUUGUUACAAAAAAGAGGAUUGCGACGGGUUCAGGUUAUUUUGAUAGACUUGAGAGUGAACUGUACUCUGCUGUCCAUGCUGCAUACUAUGGCCCCGAGGUAGAGUCCAUGGAUCUCCUUCCUGAUUGCUUUGAAGCCGAGGAGAGGUCUGUGUAUGAGACAUCUGAGCUAUUGCACCUUGUAUCUGGCCGUGAUCUGCUUGGUAUUGUCAGUCUAGUCGAUGGCGUCCGAGAGCUGUCUGAUGCUUGUCGUGAGAAGCUGACACAUUCCGGUUCUGCAACCUGCGGCGUUAGUCCAAAUGUUGCAGUAAACAGGGAGAAAUGUUCAAUACCUAGGCAUGCAGAUAUUCACAGGCAAGAGAAUGAGGAUAGUGACAGUAUCCCAUCAGAUGCCUACAAGGACAUUCAGUUGCAGAUAUGUGGGAGAGUAGUGGCCACUGCAAAUAGGAGGCUCAAGUGCAAUUGCAUUGACAAUUCAGACAUGGAAGAUCACAUACAUGUAUUUCUUGUUCCAAAUGAGGUGGUUGCACCUGAUGUGAUGCAAGAGCAUCUCCUCCUUGGAACAAUCACUGGGUUGGACACCAGUGGAGAGGAAGGAUCUUGCUGUGUCUAUGAUGGCCAUGGAAUAAAGACCCAUGUAAUUGUUAAGCACAGGACACUGAUGGUUAAACACAUGCACUGGUAUCAAUUUGGAGAUGAAGUUUCACCCUGCGAGUGUCGAUGUAGCAGGGCUCGGUUGCCACCCAGCAGGUUUUGGCUUUUUGAGCCACGGUGUUACAUGCAUGACACUGGUGGUUGGUACAUCGAGACAUUUGGGAGAGACAAGAAAGGGAGGACAAUCCCAUCACCAAGACAUUGGCAUGGUGUCAAUGAACAUUCUGAAAAGAGAUUGCAUCCAGCACUGUAUCUGGUGGCUCUGGCAUACAGAUCUUUAGAUCUUGAGGAUGCUCAAAGAAGAAAAUGGAGCUUUAGGAGUUUCCUAGAGCUGCAAUUGUCUCAUAUUCGUCAGUUAAGUGAAAAAAUCUUUAGUGGUAAAAAAGGAGUUGAUAUGGGAGCACCAUGAGAAACGAGCAGCAGUUUCAGGAAUUCAAUGUUCUUGUUUGACAAUAUCUUUGUGAUUUCUAAAACUUUUUGAGGCUGUUCACUAUUCUGCAUGGUUGACGUAAACCAUGCUGAUGUCUGAUGUCCGGAAUUACAAUUACAAACCGAUUUCCAUGAAAUAGAUGAUCUUACGAUGGAAAGAGCACCCGACAGUAUACAACUAAGAACCCCGAAUCGAAAAUGAUAUGUUCAAAGGUGAAAGAACUAUAAUCUAAUUUAUGUAAGCAUCUGUACCUGCCACUUUCAUAGUGCGUAAGUUAAUCUGAUUUCUAGGGACACUUUUCUGAACCUUGGUGUGAAAUUUGGUCACUUUUCCCUUCAAUCUUAAACUAGGAAAAU